rnacentral:rRNA from 1 species
CUCUCUUCCUUAGAGUUUGAUCCUGGCUCAGGAUGAACGCUAGCUACAGGCUUAACACAUGCAAGUCGAGGGGAAACGACAUCGAAAGCUUGCUUUUGAUGGGCGUCGACCGGCGCACGGGUGAGUAACGCGUAUCCAACCUGCCCACCACUUGGGGAUAACCUUGCGAAAGUAAGACUAAUACCCAAUGACGUCUCUAGAAGACAUCUGAAGGAGAUUAAAGAUUUAUCGGUGAUGGAUGGGGAUGCGUCUGAUUAGCUUGUUGGCGGGGUAACGGCCCACCAAGGCGACGAUCAGUAGGGGUUCUGAGAGGAAGGUCCCCCACAUUGGAACUGAGACACGGUCCAAACUCCUACGGGAGGCAGCAGUGAGGAAUAUUGGUCAAUGGGCGAGAGCCUGAACCAGCCAAGUAGCGUGCAGGAUGACGGCCCUAUGGGUUGUAAACUGCUUUUAUAAGGGAAUAAAGUGAGUCUCGUGAGACUUUUUGCAUGUACCUUAUGAAUAAGGACCGGCUAAUUCCGUGCCAGCAGCCGCGGUAAUACGGAAGGUCCGGGCGUUAUCCGGAUUUAUUGGGUUUAAAGGGAGCGUAGGCCGGAGAUUAAGCGUGUUGUGAAAUGUAGAUGCUCAACAUCUGCACUGCAGCGCGAACUGGUUUCCUUGAGUACGCACAAAGUGGGCGGAAUUCGUGGUGUAGCGGUGAAAUGCUUAGAUAUCACGAAGAACUCCGAUUGCGAAGGCAGCUCACUGGAGCGCAACUGACGCUGAAGCUCGAAAGUGCGGGUAUCGAACAGGAUUAGAUACCCUGGUAGUCCGCACGGUAAACGAUGGAUGCCCGCUGUUGGUCUGAAUAGGUCAGCGGCCAAGCGAAAGCAUUAAGCUUCCCACCUGGGGAGUACGCCGGCAACGGUGAAACUAGAGUUUAAGGACGGAAGGGCG